GAUGAACGCUGGCGGCGUGCCUAAUACAUGCAAGUCGAGCGAACAGACGAGGAGCUUGCUCCUCUGACGUUAGCGGCGGACGGGUGAGUAACACGUGGAUAACCUACCUAUAAUACUGGGAUAACUUCGGGAAACCGGCGCUAAUACCGGAUAAUAUAUUGAACCGCAUGGUUCAAUAGUGAAAGACGGUUUUGCUGUCACUUAUAGAUGGAUCCGCGCCGCAUUAGCUAGUUGGUAAGGUAACGGCUUACCAAGGCAACGAUGCGUAGCCGACCUGAGAGGGUGAUCGGCCACACUGGAACUGAGACACGGUCCAGACUCCUACGGGAGGCAGCAGUAGGGAAUCUUCCGCAAUGGGCGAAAGCCUGACGGAGCAACGCCGCGUGAGUGAUGAAGGUCUUCGGAUCGUAAAACUCUGUUAUUAGGGAAGAACAAAUGUGUAAGUAACUAUGCACGUCUUGACGGUACCUAAUCAGAAAGCCACGGCUAACUACGUG
rnacentral:rRNA from 1 species